GCGAUGGUGGUGUAAAGGUUAUCAUGGUUGCCUACCAAGUAAUCGAUCCGGGUUCGAUUCCCGGCCAUCGCA